rnacentral:lncRNA from 1 species
UCUCCUUAAUUUAUGGCCAAAUUCAAAGUUUGAAUUUAAUUCAAACUCCCCACUGCUGAGCAGCAGUCCACCGCUCAACCGACUCCUCCUGUUAUUUCAAUUCCGUACGGCCCUUCCCACGCACGUACAGCAAAAAGAAGCACCCUCCUACGCGCAAUGUUGCUCACACCUAGGACCUCCAGGUUGCCCAGCAUGCUGCUGGCCACUGGGACGC